rnacentral:sRNA from 1 species
UUACGGGUUGCCGGCAGUCUACCGAGU